CCUACGGGUGGCAGCAGUGAGGAAUAUUGGUCAAUGGGCGAGAGCCUGAACCAGCCAAGUCGCGUGAGGGAGUACUGCCCUAUGGGUUGUACACCUCUUUUGUCGGGGAGCAAAAGCCGGACGUGUCCGGCUGUGAGAGUACCCGAAGAAAAAGCAUCGGCUAACUCCGUGCCAGCAGCCGCGUUAAUACGGAGGAUGCGAGCGUAAUACGGAUUUAUUGGGUUUAAAGGGUGCGCAGGCUGAUUUUUAAGUCAGCGGUCAAAUCGUGGUGCUAAACCCCAUCCAGCCGUUGACACUGGGGAUUGAGGGGGUGCGAGAGGUAUGCGGAAUGCGUGGUGUAGCGGUGCAAUGUAUAGAUAUCGCGCAGAACCCCGAGUGCGAAGGCAGCAUACCGGUGCACAGCUGACGCUCAGGCACGAAAGCGUGGGUAUCGAACAGGAUUAGAUACCCCAGUAGUC
rnacentral:rRNA from 1 species